CAGAGUUCAUGCCCUCCGGGUAGAUCUCCCACCCACUGUUAUCAUUACUCUCGUUGCUUUGGCGGGCCGCUGGGCCCUGCCCGGCCGCCGGCUCCGGCUGGCGCGUGCCCGCCAGAGGCUCCACAGACUCUGAAUGUUAGUGUCGUCCGAGUAACUAUAUAAUCGUUA
rnacentral:misc_RNA from 1 species